rnacentral:rRNA from 1 species
GACGAACGCUGGCGGCGUGCUUAACACAUGCAAGUCGAACGGAAAGGCCUCAGCUUGCUGGGGUACUCGAGUGGCGAACGGGUGAGUAACACGUGGGUGAUCUGCCUUGCACUCUGGGAUAAGCUUGGGAAACUGGGUCUAAUACCGGAUAUGAACUGCCUUUAGUGUGGUGGUUGGAAAGUUUUUUCGGUGCAAGAUGAGCUCGCGGCCUAUCAGCUUGUUGGUGGGGUAAUGGCCUACCAAGGCGUCGACGGGUAGCCGGCCUGAGAGGGUGUACGGCCACAUUGGGACUGAGAGACGGCCCAGACUCCUACGGGAGGCAGCAGUGGGGAAUAUUGCACAAUGGGCGGAAGCCUGAUGCAGCGACGCCGCGUGGGGGAUGACGGCCUUCGGGUUGUAAACUCCUUUCGACAGGGACGAAGCUUUUUGUGACGGUACCUGUAGAAGAAGCACCGGCUAACUACGUG